rnacentral:rRNA from 1 species
AGGCUGCAACCCGCCUGCGUGAAGUCGGAAUCGCUAGUAAUCGCGGAUCAGCAUGCCGCGGUGAAUACGUUCCCGGGCCUUGUACACACCGCCCGUCACACCAUGAGAGUCGGGAACACCCGAAGUCCGUAGUCUAACCGCAAGGGGACGCGGCCGAAGGUGGGUUCGAUAAUUGGGGUGAAGUCGUAACAAGGUAUC